AGUCCUUCUUAACAUGGUAUCUUAAUUUUCUUACAUGUUCCACGAUUCCUUAUUUUUGUGCACCAUCAGAUGGUGCCUUGGGAUGUGGGAUGUGGAAGAUAUGGUGGAGUCCUUCUCUAAGAAGGAUCUCUACAUAAAAAAUAAAUGGGACGUCCUUUAUUUUUGGGCGAUGAGAAAUGGAGAGUCCAUUUCACAUUGGACUCUUAUUUCCUUCCAUUUUCUCAAUGCAUUUUUAAAUUCUUCAUGUCAUCAGAUGAACCUUGGAAUUUUAGGCACAGA
rnacentral:lncRNA from 1 species